UUUUUUUUUUUUGCCAGUGAGCAUUGCUAAGCCCUGUUGAGCUGCUUAGGAACUUAUGCCCAUAGACAGUGGAGCAUCCCUCCAGAGGUUGCAUAGUAAUUUAAUAUCCCUUCCAAGUUUGGCCCUCUAGAUUAGUAGAAGAACCUGAAAAACAUGGAAAUAUGGCAAGUGAGAUGUUUAGAUCAGAGAAUAGGAAUCUUUAGAAUUAAAUCAGCUUCUCUUUCUGUUUGUUGUUAUUUGUUUGUUUUAUGCUGAGUUUUAGAUACAGUCUCCAAAAAAGGAAAAACAUAGGGGCCGAGGUUGUGGCUCAGCAGUAGAGCACUCACCUAACACACUCGAGGCCCUGGGUUCAAUCCUCAGCACCUCCAUAAAAGUAAAUAAAUAAAAUAAACAUGUUGUGUCCAACUAAUACUAAAUAAUAAAUAUUUUUUUAAAAAAAGGAAAAACAUAAUUUUUUCUAAGCAUAUGUAGAGCUACUCUUUCAUUAGGUAAUUGAAACAGGAUGUUUGUUUUCUUGUGAUUGAUUACUUCUUUGCUAAGGCCUUGCCCUCAGAUAUUUUUCAGUAAAAUUGAUUUCCUUCUUCAGAAGGCAACCUUGUUAUAAUAUUUGCUUUACCUUUUAAAAGUUUUAAGAGUCAGUGAUAAGAAAUAAGAUUUGUUUUGAGGUAAGUAGUUUAAAGACCAUAGAAUUUGGCCAGGCACGGUGGCUCACACCCAUAAUCCUGGCAGUUUGGGAGGCUGAGGCAGGAGGAACAAGAGUUUGAAGCCAGCCUCAGCAACUUAGUGAGGCUCUAAGCAACUUAGUGAGACCCUGUCUCUAAAUAAAAUACAAAAUAGGGCUGGGGAUGUGGCUCAGUGGUUAAGUGCCCCUGAAUUCUAUCUCUAGUAGCCCCAACACCACCAAAAAAAAAAAGACCACAGAAUUUAAUUAAAUGCUUCAUUCAGGUUAGUUUAUUUUCAGGUAUUAUAAUAUUAGUCAUUUAAAUUAUAAACCAGUUAAAAUCAUCCUAAAAUGUAUUAUUUAACAUACUAGCUUAAAUGUCCUUUCUCUCAAAUGGGUCAUUCUGAAGAAUAUAGUCUGCCUUUUUAAAAUACUAUGAAAUGAAUACUACCAGUUAUAGUCCUUUUUUGAUUGAGAAUUACUGAAGUAUUAAGCAUUUCUAUAGCACUUUUCAUUAUACCAUGUAUUCCACCUCACUUGUGCUGUUUCUCUAUGAAUUCAGGCAGCCCAGGGUAUCUAUGCCAGAAUGUUUCUUAUCCUUUUGAAACUGCCUGAAAGAUCAUCACAAAAAGUUUACUCUGGUUUCAGUUGUCUCCUACAUCUAAAGCAGUGAUUGAUUUGUAUAAGGAACAACCUUUUAGAUUUUUCAUAGCAUAUUUUAUCUUCAAGGAACUUUGUUAAAUUGUGUGUAUAAUGACCAUUGCAAUACAUUCAAUUCUAGAAUAGAGAAUAAUUGUUUAUAUUUUUAAAUUAGUUAACAAAGUCCUUACCUUUCAAAUAAAUCAUGUUAUUUGAGGUAUCUAAAAGCACAAGGUCUUGUUUUCUUAAAAGUCUUUCAAGUAAUUCUCUGCCCUGUUCCCAUUUUCAUCAAAUAGAAAAUUAAGCUUAGGUUAUCCUCAACCAGAAAGAAGGAGAAAGAAAAUGUUGUUUGUCUUUAAUUUUUUUGAUAAGUUCAGUUGAUAUACCAAGAUUUUCAAAAAGUAGCAGAUGUUUCACUUCAAAUUACUUCACACAAGCAAAGUUGCCCCUGAAUUCAAGUAAUUGAGUAGGAGAUGGAAUCUAGAGAUUCCCAGAUAGGCAAAAAGGAAUUAGAGUAGAUUUAUUUUUCAAAAGCAGAUUCAUCACCUGUUAUUUCCAUCUUUCCUUUAAAAUUAUUUGUGAUUGCAUGGAUAUUCAUAGAGUUAUUUUAUUGCUUCCUAAACUGUAAGUUCUUUUUGUCUCCUCUACCCGCUCACCCAGAAUCUGAUUAUGAAAAAACUUCAUUUGAUUAGAAGUAGUAGACUUGGUAGGAUAUCUUUAGUGUUUGUUUUACUCGCAUGAGAUUUGGAGUUUGUUGAUAAGAUGUUAUUCUUUGGGGGUUGUUUUGUUCAUUAUUUUUAAGGCUAAUAUUUUAAGUUUGUGGAAUAGGACAGUGCUCAACAAAAUAUGACCUAAAUCUUAUUUUCACAUUGAAUCGUGAUGGAUACAGUUAGUACUCAUAGGAAUAUUGCAAGUCAUUUUAAAGAAAUUGAUUAAAAUACUGAAAAUAAUCUUAAAACUAUAAUGUACCCAAAAGUGAGCAAUGAUGGUGAGUAUGUUUGUGUAUUUCAAGUUUCUGUUAAUAUAAUAGCUUCCUGUGAUUGUGCUUGAAAUCCUUCACUCUCCAAGGUCUUAGUAAUUCGGCUCUUCAUUUUAAUCAGUGCCAAAUUCCUUAAUCCUUUUAACUUUAAGGUAAUAAUUCUUUUACCCUUCCCCGAUCUUCAUUUUUGCAACACCAUGGUUAAUUGUUUAAUAAAAGGAAUCCCUGAAUAGAAGUAAGGACUAUCUGCUGUUCAAUAACUAGUUGAAAUCAGUGUGGGAAUACAAAUUUUAAUUUUUAAUAAAAUUGUUCAGGGGCUUGUUAAUUGUUGAGAACCUGGGCUUUAGAGGCAGCACCUAGGUUAGCAUUCCACAAGCAUUCCACCAUAUUUAUCUAUCAUAUAUACAUAUUUGGGUUCUUUCAUACACUUCAUCCAUUUGGGGUUUUAAACUAGUGAUGAUGUUGCUAGUUUUGUAGUAUAUAACUAGUCACCAUUCAAUGAGAUUUAAAUGAAAUUUUACUGUCUUGAGGUUAUUUUAGAUAACUAUUUUAAAAUUAGCUUUUGUUCCACAGAGUGAUCUUGGUGGAUAAGUUGCUUGACCACUCUAAACCUCAACUUGCUCAUCUAUAAAAUGAAGAUAAUAAUAGGGUCUACUUCAUAGGAUUAUUAUGAGUGUCAGAUGUAAAUGUGUAUAAAAUGUUAAGUUGAGGCAUCUGGCAUGUCUGGCACUCAAAACAGUUGCUAAUAUCAUCAGCAUACAAAUCCCAGGGUUCAACCAGUCGCCAGGGUACUAGGUAAUAUGCUCUGCAUUAGGACAUGCUGACAUUCUCUGGCAACCAAGUAGAAUCUAACAGCCACGAAAAAAUGGAUAGGUUCUUCCUAGAUUAAUAGUGUAUUCAUAUAAGUGAUUGCUUAGAUCCUCCUCAGACAGUGCUAUGCAAAAAAUGAUGUUAUAGCAGACUAAAUUCUAAUAAUUGUCAAUUAUUAACCAACUCCCAGAAAUUAACUUUAGUAUUAUAUAGUAACGAGAACUGGCCUUGAGUUUACAAGUACCAGCUGUAGACAGAAUGUUAGAUGAAAAAUAAUGCCAUGAAACUAUCACAGUGGCACACACCUGUAAUCCCAGCUACUUGGGAGGCUGAAGCAGGAGGAUCACAAGCUCAAGGCCAGUCUUGGCAACUCAGACCCAAAAUAAAAUAAAAAGGACUAGGGAGGGCUGUGAUUGUGCCUCAGUGGUAAAGCCCAUGCCUAAUAUAUGUGAGGCUCUAGGUUCGUCCUCAGCAUCACAUAAAAAUAAAUAAAUAAAUUUGUUGUGCCCAUCUACAACUAAAAGAAAAGUUUUUUUAAAGAAUCUGAAAUUUAUGGGCUGGGGAUGUGGCUCAAGCGGUAGUGCGCUCGCCUGGCAUGCGUGCAGCCCGGGUUCGAUCCUCAGCACCACAUACAAACAAAGAUGUUGUGUCCGCCAAAAAAUAAAUAUUAAAAUAUAUAUAUAUAUAUAUCUCUCUCUCUCAAAAAUAAAAAAUAAAGAAUCUGAAAUUUCUUUUAAAAAAAGACUAGUGAUGUUAGUUUAGUGGUAAAGAGCCCUGAUUCAAUACCCAGUACAAAAAAUAUUAAUAAUUCCAGGAAGCUUCCAAAUUUGUCAAGCUUGAAGAAAUAUAGUACCUCAAAGGGACUUUAUGAUUUAAAGAACUCUUUAUGCAGAGAAUUAAGUUCAGUGAAAAGUGCCUAGGUUUAAUUUUUUAUAGUUGGAAAAAGUAAAAUUAACUAGAAAGUGGGAGGUCUGGACUUCCUCUCCUGUCAAAUGUGUGAUGUGGACAGAUCAUUAGACCUUUCAGUUGGUUUGUACAAAAUGAAGAUAAGGGCUGGAUUGUGGCUCGGUGGUAGCACACUUGCCUAGCAUGCGUGAGGCACUGGUUUUGAUUCUCAGCACCACAUACAAAUAAAUAAAAUAAAGGUCCAUCAACAAAUUUUUU
rnacentral:lncRNA from 1 species